rnacentral:tRNA from 1 species
UGCUAGCUCAGUCGGGUAAGCGCCCGCUUCUCACGCAAGUGAUGCGGGUUUGAAUCCCGGCGCUGACAU